CAUGAAAAGAACGGCUCUAGUCCACCCAUUCAUGCCAAAAAAAGCUAAUAAUACGACAUCGUUUAGAAUCUUUCCAUGGUCAAGCAAAGCCAUCUCAAUUCUCACCCACUUGCCUUUGUAGAAAGCUCCUCUGUCGUGGGCUCAGCAGCAAAAGCUGAAUUAACUAGAUCAUCUUUCUCAGAGACAAAUUAGAUUUUCUUGUUGGGAAACGCUGAACUAACUCAUCUUCCUCGGAGGCAAAAUUAGUUCCUAAAGAUCAAAGCUUGUUCAGAUUCUGUCUCAAUCAAGAGGUUUCAAUAUUGGACUAAACAUAGAGAUUUUGCAUAUUGGAGUACUCCUUCAUAUUAUUAACAUUUCAAUUCCAAUGACAUAUCUACAAAACUGAUUGACAAAGCUCAAUUUUUGAGUGAGAGAAUGGAUUCGGUCAGUAAUGGGAAUCAAAAAGGAGAAACGGAGGAAUCAAAUGGUGCUAAACUCCAGGGUCAUAUCCCUCUCAACAUUUCAGCAUCUAGAAGGACCCUCUUGGGCAAUGAAAAUUUGCAAAGGAAUCUCCAAGACAGCUCAACUGCCCAUCCCAAUAAAAUAAAAUUUCUUAAAUUUGGCUCUGCAUCUGCCAAAUUCAAGCGGUUGGCUCAGGAUAGAGAUGAGAUGUCACGCUCAGUGGCUUCUUCAAGUAGCCACGGUCUUCGCGAACGCAUGAAGGAGAUUGAUUGGGCUUUUCUAAUGAAAACAAGCAAAGAAUGGAUCCGGGAUCCAAUGAACAUGGCCCUCUUUGUUUGGAUCGUGUGUGUUGCUAUUUCAGGUGCAAUUCUGUUCCUAGUCAUGACUGGAAUGUUAAAUGGUGUGUUGCCAAAGAAGUCACAGAGAAAUGCGUGGUUUGAAGUAAAUAAUCAAAUACUCAAUGCAUUGUUCACUCUAAUGUGCCUUUACCAGCAUCCAAAACGGUUCUACCACCUUGUACUUCUCUGUAGAUGGAAACCGGAGGACAUUUCUAGACUCAGAAAGAUUUACUGCAAAAAUGGGAUCUACAAGCCCCAUGAGUGGGCACACAUGAUGGUUGUUGUUAUUCUACUCCAUGUGAAUUGUUUUGCUCAAUAUGCACUGUGUGGUCUAAAUUUGGGGUACAAGAGAUCUGAGCGACCUGCCAUAGGAGUUGGAAUAUGUAUAUCUUUUGCAAUAGCUGCACCUGCAAUUGCUGGGGUAUACACCAUUAUUAGUCCCCUUGGGAGGGAUUAUUCUGAAUUUGAUGAGGAAGCACAGCAUCAAAUUACUGCUGGUGAGGGUAAGAGGCCAGAGCAGUUAAGAAGAAAAUCAUUAGAAAAGAGAUAUUCCUUUGCAACAAGAGAUGAAGGAAGUGUUGAGACUAGACCACAAUGGAGUGGAGGGAUCCUUGAUUUUUGGGAUGACAUCUCUCUGGCAUAUCUAUCGCUCUUCUGUAGUUUUUGUGUCUUUGGAUGGAAUAUGGAGAGGCUUGGAUUUGGAAACAUGUAUGUUCAUAUUGCAACCUUUCUCCUCUUUUGUAUGGCUCCUUUCUGGAUUUUCAACUUGGCUGCCAUUAAUAUUGAUAAUGAGACUGUCAGGGAAGCUUUAGGAGUUACUGGUAUUAUUCUUUGUGCAUUUGGUUUGCUAUAUGGUGGCUUCUGGAGGAUUCAAAUGAGAAAAAGAUUUAAUUUGCCAACUUAUACCUUCUGUUUUGGUAAACCAGCAGUUUCUGAUUGCACGUUGUGGCUAUGUUGUUGUUGGUGCUCCCUAGCACAGGAAGUUCGAACUGGGAAUUCUUAUGAUAUUGUGGAAGAUAAGUUUUACAGGAAAGACAUGGACAGUAGUAAUCAUCUGCAGCCUUCACCUCAUGAAGAUGGUUCUAGUGCAAGUUCUCAACUUGGCAACAACCAUAGCUCAUCCAAGACUUUGAUAGCAAAUUCUCCAAGUCCUAGCAGAGUUUCAAAUGUGUAUUAUAAUCCAGAUAGGCAGAUUUCUACUGUAAAAGAAGAGUCUUCUACAGAAGGCAAGGAUAAGACUAUGACUCCACCAUCUCUAUCAUUGAUAGAAAGAGAAGCCACUUAGCUGGAACGCAAUUUAGAUAGCAUUCUUAUAUACUGGUAAUGAUUUGAUGUGGAAUGGCAAUGUAAACUUUACAUUUAUGAUGUAUCAUGAGCGACUCCGAUACAAUACAUACCUACAUCUUUUACAAAUACUAGUUUUCCUCUUCAAAGAUUUUGCAUUUUGAACAAAUUUACUUUCAUAUGGGUCUAUGUCAAGAUUAAGUUUUUGAGGAAAUACUUUACUCUCAGGGACAUUAUUUUCUGAUAGCAAUCUGUUUGGUCUGUAAAGCAGCGGAUAUGUUAUUUAAGAUAAAUAAGGGAUCUGUGCACCAAAUAAAGAUUUAAGUUCAAAUUUGAGGAAAUCCUUUACUCUGAGCAUUGUUUUCUGAUAGCAAUCUGUUUGGUCUGUAAAGCAGCGGAUAUGUUAUUUAAGAUAAAUAAGGGAUCUGUGCACCAAAUAAAGAUUUAAGUUCAAAUUUGAGGAAAUCCUUUACUCUGAGCAUUG
rnacentral:misc_RNA from 1 species